GCCGAGAUAGCUCAGUUGGUAGAGCGCCAGUCUCAUAAGCUGGAUGUCGCGGGUUCAAAUCCCGCUCUCGGCA
rnacentral:tRNA from 1 species